CCUCUGGCUGAUGUCCUGCAACUCUUGAUCUGCCUGAAGAACAAAGAACAGAGAGGUCUGAACAGGAAAGCUUCAUCCUCUGUGAAAAUUUAUUCAUUUUAAUUUAAGCAGCGAGAGGUGGAAUAUGAAACCAAGCACUCAGAUUCUACAGUUACCCACAGAUUGGUGAAUGGAGCCAGAGAAACUGAAAAGGAACUGGAUGAUUAGUAGGAGACUUUCACUGAACACGCCUAUAGAAAGGACAGUCAUUCACUCAAGUAAUGUAAUUCUUCCACGCUUCAUCAUCUUCCAGUGAGACAAGAUGCUUCUUCAGGCUGAUUGUGUGGAUGUUAAAAGUAUGAAUAUUUUAUAUUUGUGCUUUAAUCAGCAAGAAAAUUAUUAAUGCUGACAUGUAAAGGCAUUGUUCUCGGCUGCGCAGAGCCCCAGAGGACAUUAUAAUGCAGGUUUACAAGCAGUCCACAUUCAGAAAACCUUUGGAUUCUUUUCAAUGAAUUUUGGUGAAUGCAUUUUCUGCUAUUCAUGAAAAACUAUCAUUCAGUGAUUUAACAACUUGCAAAUCUGCCCUCAAUAUCUUUUAAGUCCAGACUGAAAUGCCAAUUACAUUUGUAGAAUUGGUAAAACCUACCCGCAUUAAAUAGCUGCUACCAGAAAACAGCAAAAACAACAACAAAUUUGGGCUGGAGAUUUAGCUGUCAGGACAACAGCAAAGUUACAGAGCUAUGAAGAAACUGUCUGUUUCAGAGCCAUAGUUCCAUUUUUAGGAAGCUGAAUGUAUUCACUAGGUUUUUUUUCCAAGGAAAAGAAAGCAAAAUGAAAGGGGUCUGGAUAGAUUUCUGGCUUCUACCAGUGUACUUGCACAGGAAAGCCAAUAUAGUCCAGGCAACAACUGACAGAUGUGAAGAGCAUAGAAAGUACCAUAACGCAGCUGAGCCAUGAAGCUGGUUGCAAGGAGGGAAUUCUGAUUUAUAAAUAAGAAAUGUCAGUAUUUUCAUGUUUCUAAAAACCUUAAGAUUCUAUUUUGUCACAUUGUUUCACGCGUCAUCUAACAUUAAAGAAAAUACUCAUUUAGAAUAAAUGUUAAGAUAAUGAUAUUCAGGACUUCUGUAUCUUUUAUUUCUUAGUGGUAAGGCAGUCAGUUUUGCAUAGCUUCAUUUAUUUUCAUUAUUCACCAAAGACGUUACAAAGAAAGACUGUAUUUUUAGAGGAAAAAAACCAAACAUUUAAGCUGUUAGGUUCAACAAGGUGACUAAGAUAAAGUGAAAAAGAAACAAGAGACUGCAGGGCUCACAUUGCUGUAUUAGCCAGAAUUUCAGUACUCAGUGCAUCUGGAGUAAAUGAGAACAUAAAUGCCUUGAUUACACUCGUGCAGCGCUGCUGGUGUCAGUGGACUUGGUGGCUACACCUGACAACAGAACCUUCCUUCUCUUUUGCUUCACUCUUUGGGAUACUGGAGUAAGCAAGAAUACAGAGUUGAAUUAAUGUCCAAGCUUGUAUGAAAUCUGUUGCUUUUCUCCCUUAACUAUUGGCUCUUUUGGGGAAAAGAAGAAGAAAAGCAAAUGCCUGUCAGGGAACAACAGGUGCUACACACUAAAGUGUCCUGAAGAAUCUCCAUAAUUUCAGUCAGAGAAGUUUGUGGUCUUAUUAAAAACAUUAUAUAAGGAACCAUUGCUCGCUAGCAUAUGGAUAGAGAUCAUGGCACAGAGUGGAGUAACCAUCACAAAUAAAUGGAAAAGGCAAAUGGAAGAACUGUACUGGGCAGAAGCUGUUUCUGACAAGCCUUCCUGAGAAAUAAGGAAAAAUGCAACUUCUCCGUUCUUUUUAAUUUAGAUUUAAACCCACAGCAAUGAAGGAAGCACGAUGAUUAGCAUGUGUAUUUGUCAGCUCUCAUACUGAAUUUUUGGGAAGACUUUCUUCUUUCUUACGAGCUUCCUCUGAGAAAAGGCAGCUUUCUCUAACAGGUACUUGUCAGGCACAUGACAAGGUGAAUCACAAAAAUCUCUGUCCAGAUAGAUGUGCAACAAUUUAAGUGAUUCCUACGAACAGAUGUAUAAACUGCUCAAUCACGUAUCCAAAAAAGGAUAAACUUUCAUAAAGCAUACAGUAAAUAAAUCAGAUAACAGUUUUGUAAUUAUGUUUUGUUUUGUAAUUAUCUUCUAUACUUUAUAAAAUGACUUUUAGUGCUCUCUACAAGUUACUAUUUUCUCUGUGUUCCAGGUGCACAAGGCCUUACUGAUCUCUCAGCGUUUGGACUGCUCAUUCAUUGAUCAUGCAGCAUUCUGAGAUACUUCAGAUCAAGGAAGCACUGGUAUUAGUAUCUCUGCAAAGAGAUUAGAAUUCAACUGUUAGCAUGGCAUACACUUCCUAGUGUAUGGUGUCUUGCUAUUAAAAUAUGUUGUAUCUAAUCCACAUUUCUAUAUUUCUUUUAUUAGUAUCUGGACAUAUGUAGUUCUUAAGAAAGUGAAUUCACCAAGAGCUUUCAAAAAUUAUUUCUAUACAAACAAUUUAUUAUACUUUGUAUACACAAACUGAAGCAGGUUCUGAAACAUGUGAAAACAUCUCAGCAGACACUUUCUUUAAAGGCCCCUUCCAAGCAAACUGCUCUAUUCUAUUAUGCUAUAAAAUUAAUGUAGUUUAGAAUGGAAUUGGCAGGUAUGAAAUAUCCCUGUAUUAUAUUAUUACAAUAUCUGUACAGGAAGAAGAACUUUUAGGCCUUUUAUUAACUCACAUCCUUAUUUGGCAACACAAAUUUGAUCAAUCUGAGUUAUGACAAAAACUGACUGUUCUGUAAGUGUGUUUUUUAUACAUACCGAAUACCGCCUCUCCUCCGUAUAACCUUCAUAAGUUCUGUUGUUGCCUGGAUAGUUAAUGCUGUCAUACUGUUGGGAUUGCUGGCUGGAAAGAUAGUCUGGUCUCGGUGACUGAACAUACCUGGGACUAUGCAAAAGAAAGAUGUUGUUGUGAAGGAACUGUAUAAUAUAAAUUAGUUGAAGUAUUUGUUUAAAUAAUAAAAAACAAAUAAAAAUGAUAAAGCCUGUUAACUGCA